GUCAGCAGCCGCGGUAACACCGGCGGCCCGAGUGGUGAUCGUGAUUAUUGGGUCUAAAGGGUCCGUAGCCGGUUUGGUCAGUCCUCCGGGAAAUCUGAUAGCUCAACUAUUAGGCUUUCGGGGGAUACUGCCAGACUUGGAACCGGGAGAGGUAAGAGGUACUACAGGGGUAGGAGUGAAAUCUUGUAAUCCCUGUGGGACCACCUGUGGCGAAGGCGUCUUACCAGAACGGGUUCGACGGUGAGGGACGAAAGCUGGGGGCACGAACCGGAUUAGAUACCCGGGUAGUCCCAGCCGUAAACGGUGCUCGCUAGGUGUCAGGCAUGGCGCGACCGUGUCUGGUGCCGCAGGGAAGCCGUGAAGCGAGCCACCUGGGAAGUACGGCCGCAAGGCUGAAACUUAAAGGAAUUGGGCGGGGGAGCACAACAACGGGUGGAGCCCUGCGGUUUAAUUGGACUCAACGCCGGACAACUCACCGGGGGCGACAGCAAUAUGUAGGCCAAGCUGAAGACUUUGCCUGAAUCGCUGAGAAGUGGUGCAUGG
rnacentral:rRNA from 1 species